UGGAGGGAGCUUCAUUAGAAUGAUACUGCAUAUAUUCUUAAUAUUUGAUUUUUUUCUUCUCAGGAGUAUAUUGUACAUAACUGCAUGGGGAGCAGAGAUGGACGAUUACAAGAACAAAAGAAAAGGUAAACAUAAUAACCAGAAUUUGGACAACGAACCAGAAUAUUGCCUGCAUCCCAAGAGCUCACCUGUGUCACCUUCUAGUACCUAUCAACCUCCAUGUCCAAAGAGUAAGUAUUGUUAUACUUCUAACAGACUUAAAUACAUGCAUUCUUUUUUUUUUUUUUUGUUUUGUUUUUGGUACUAGGGGUCGAACUCAGGUCUUUGUGCUUGCGAGACAGGCAGCAAACCUCUGAGCUAAAUCCCCGGCCCAAUACAUGCAUUCUUUUUGUGUCCAAGUUGUGUUUUUUGUUUGUUUGUUUUGGUUUGGUUUGGUUUUUUUUUUUUUCCAUUUGCUGUAAGUAAAUUUUAGCCACUUUGUCUAUAAUUGAGAGUUUGUUACACUCUUUCUUGUUUGAUACUCCAGUGCCUAAAUAUAUUACGGUGCAUUUAUUGAUUCUACAACUG
rnacentral:lncRNA from 1 species